CAGGUGAGGCCCAGAAGGUCUUACUCAUCCUUUAAUUCUGAUCUUGUGGGUGUCUAUCCUCAUGUGUGUUUCUUGAAGACAACAUACGGUAGGGUUUUGGGUUCUAAUCCAUUCUGCUAUUCGUCUACGUUUUAUGGAUAUGGAUAUUGUCUCCAACUGCACAAUAAGAAGUAUGGAAUAACUGAAGAAACUUAUCCAAAUGACCUCACCCUUUCCAGUGGCUAUCUGGAUGAGACAUUAACAUGCCUGAUGUAAGCCUUGGUAAACACAAAGUUGUCAAUCUACUUCGGUCCAAUAGGAUGAAUUCAGAGCCUAAAGUAGAAUGACAGCAAUCCCUUCCAGGGAAUGAGAGUGCUCAGGAAGUAGACUUCAAUGUUUCCAACUCAGAUUCCUGGAAGAGUCAUUUUAAUAAUCAAAAUGUAUUUGGAAGAGUGUUGAAAAAUGGAAAUGUCCAAAGGUGUAUCGUCUUGGUCUAUUUGUUUCAUCUCUAGUUUCCUACUCAAUGAAAAUGAGAUGAAAGCUUCAAUGGAUCUCAUGUUAUAGAGGGUAAUUUAUGAGAGUGGAAAGGAUCUACUUUAAGUAACUAUAUUUCUUUCAAAUCUGUUAUUUCUAAAUGUGUAUGAAGUUUUACCUUCUGAAACUAUGUUCAGUUUGGUACCCUUUCCUAUUUUAAAUGCCAU
rnacentral:lncRNA from 1 species